AUUCUAUGACAGAUUCCAGUGGCACCAUGGAUAGGGAAACAAGUUCCUCUCUCCUAUGUCCCCUCUGCACACCUGCCCUGGAUUUACGAUUUGAUCCUGUAAUAUCAGAAAUAAUCCAGCCAGUCCUAAAACCUGCACCAUUUCCCAGGUCACACUCAGGGCUCCUAAUGCAGGCAGGAAAAUACGAAAUACAAAAAUGACAAUGAUGUGCAUCUCUGUGACGACUUGCACAAGCUGCUUGUCUACACCUACAUCCCCAAACCCAGCAACCAAGUGAACCAAAUCCUGAAAUUGAACACACUUCCAAACAAGGAGCGCCCAACCCUUCAUUAAGGCGGAUAGAAGAGCACAUCAAGGACAUGAAUUCAAGAUUUCCCAGAAAAGCCAGCCUAACCCUGAGGAACCCAGCACCAUGGUUGUCUUUCCCCCGGGAUGCUAAGCACCAGAGAGCGUUCCCAUUGGUUCAGAAGAUGGGAGAACAACAUGCUGGUGACUACAGGAAUACGCACGGGAAAGGGCGAAGAAAGAGCUGGAGAACUCCUGCAGGAGCUUCCUUCCAAGAGUGAGCAGGUGCUGACUGUACACUGAUUAUCGAGUGGCCUUAUCAUAAUCAUGACUGUCAUCAUUCACAUGUUUGGGCGUACAAGUUAGCUCAUGUGACCUUCUUUAUUAGUUUUUGAGACAGACACUCAUAUUAUCCCCAUUUUUUCUAAAAUGACACCAGGGGCGCCUGGGUGGCACAGCGG